rnacentral:rRNA from 1 species
AGGGCACCACCAGGAGUGGAGCCUGCGGCUUAAUUUGACUCAACACGGGGAAACUCACCCGGCCCGGACACCGUAAGGAUUGACAGAUUGAUAGCUCUUUCAUGAUUCGGUGGUUGGUGGUGCAUGGCCGUUCUUAGUUCGUGGAUCGAUUUGUCUGGUUUAUUCCGAUAACGAGCGAGACUCUAGCCUACUAAAUAGUUGCGGGAUUAUCAAUGUCCCAGUAGCUUCUUAGAGGGAUUUUCGGUGUUUAGCCGCACGAGAUUGAGCAAUAACAGGUCUGUGAUGCCCUUAGAUGUCCGGGGCUGCACGCGCGCUACACUGGCGAAAUCAGCGUGCUGUAUCCAUUCUCGAAAGGGAUUGGUAAACCCAUGAAAAUUUGCCGUGCUUGGGAUCGGAAAUUGCAAUUAUUUUCCGUGAACGAGGAAUUCCAAGUAAGUGCGAGUCAUCAACUCGCUCUGAUUACGUCCCUGCCCUUUGUACACACCGCCCGUCGCUGCUACCGAUUGGAUGACUUAGUGA